UACGUAGGGUGCGAGCGUUGUCCGGAGUUAUUGGGCGUAAAGGGCUCGUAGGCGGUCUGUCACGUCGGGAGUGAAAACACGGGGCUUAACCCCGUGCCUGCUUCCGAUACGGGCAGACUAGAGGUAUGCAGGGGAGAACGGAAUUCCUGGUGUAGCGGUGAAAUGCGCAGAUAUCAGGAGGAACACCGGUGGCGAAGGCGGUUCUCUGGGCAUUACCUGACGCUGAGGAGCGAAAGCGUGGGGAGCAAACAGG
rnacentral:rRNA from 1 species